CUCCUUCCCUGCCGGCACCUUUUCACCCAGACUAGUGGUUCUCACACCUCAGGGCACACACCAGAACCCCUUCUGUAACUCGCCGAACCUGCACGCCUUGCGCCUCCGCACCGUGUGGCAGAAAGAACAGGAAGACAUUGGUAUCAGAUGCGAUUUGAAUUCUGCUUGUGCUCCGUACUGGUUGUGUGACCAUGAGAAGUUACUCCACUUUUUGGAGCCCUAGUUUCCUACUCUGUACAAUGAUAAGCUUGACAGAGACCUUGGGAGUCCUACUGUACAAGGCCAUGCAGUUGUGCUCACCCUUUACGACCAACCUGGCAGAUACACUCAUCCCGGUGCCUGCAAUGCCCAGAAGACUUACAGUUUGGGGAGAAGUGUGGUAUUUUCGUUUGGUCUUGGACUAUGUAGAUGCCUGUCAAUGAGAAGGAAUGUCGGGUGACCAUUGUUGAAAGGAAGGAAGGAAGAGGUCAAAGAAACCCAAUGCUAUAAAUCUU
rnacentral:lncRNA from 1 species